GAUGAGCUCCGCGCAUUUGCUGCGGCGGCUGCGCCGCGGAAAUCUCUCUGGCUCCAUUUUAUUCAAUAGCCGUAAGGACGGGGGUUCUGUAAGGGGUCGUUCUGCUGCGGGGUAGUGGCCUCUCGCUCUGUCUUUCGGUGUAGAUGUGAUCCGCAGUACGCCGUAGUUUUUGCAAGCUUCUGUUUAAGCCUCACUGUUUGCAGGUAAAAUACAUCGCAGAUGUAGAGAAGUAGGUUUGAGAAGGACUUUCUCUUGCUUGUAAAUAGAAAUGUUAUUUUUCCUUCCGUGGGAAUAGGGAAAGAACGUAACGUUGCUUUUAAAAUGAAAGGGAAUGCACACGGGCACGUUCCGUGCCCUUCGGACGCGGCACAGAGCGGGACCGGAGCUCAGACUCCGCGUCGCCUUGUCCCGGGAGAGCCGGGCCAGGAUGUAUGCAUUACGGUUGUUCAUUCAUCAGCGGCUGCGGAUAAUGCAAUUACCGAGUCAGCAGCGCACGAGAGCUGCCCUGCGUGCGGCGCUCCGAGAGCGGCCCCGGGUACCGCACUCACUGCGUUUGGGGUGAAGCCGGGGCCGCGGUGCGUGGCCGGGAGCGCUGCGUCCCCAGCCGGAGGGGAGGCUGCCGGCUGCUCUUGGCGGCUGCCGUUUGUGUUCAGGUUGUAUUUGGUGUGCUACUCUGUCGAGGUCUACAUGUAUUGCUGGUGUUUGUGAAUGGUGGGUGGCUCAGGUGCUGAGAAUUUGCAGUAGUUCUAGUCCUGUCACAGAAACGGCUUCGUUUAGCUCUCGGUUGUUUUUUUUUUUUUUUUUUUUUUUUUUUCCAGUACUGGAUUCUGCAGCUCCAGUAUAGCCAUCUCUCUCCUAAGGUGUCUUGGAAAAGAGAGGAGAAAAAAAAUAAAAAUCACCGGCAUGAUUGCCAUGGACUUUAUUUAUUUAUUAGGCUAUUAGAGUAAUGAAGAAAAGCCACACAUGCCCUGCUGUGCAGAUCUCAUUUCAGCAAACUGCCUGAGCUCCUGCUGUUACCCACGUUUGAUUUUUAACCAGUGAGUGCCCUGCGCUCAUGUCUGCCCCAGCUGUGCCUCUAGGCACUGAGCACAGCCUGGCGAGGGGUCAGCUCUGGGCAGGGGCUGUCCAAAGGGUUUGUGCACAGCAGGGCGCUCCUCACUCUUCCUCCCUAAGAGCAACGUUUGCCUACUUGAGGUUCCUGCUUCUUUAUCCUGCUUAGUGCUGCUGACCGUGCUGCUCUUCCAAGGCAGUGUCUGGUACAUUAGUAUUUCAUUUUUACGAAUCGUGCCACUGAAAGAUUGUUUUCUGGUGUAGCUGAUACUUCUGUGCCAUAAAAAAGAAACAGUGAAGCAGUGUCUGUCCCAGAUCCUUCUCAUCCAGGGAGUCUCAGGAAGGACAAGGGGAGGCUCAGCCUGCUCAAGGUUACCCAUGGAGCUGCUGCCUCCUCAGCUGGAGGGCUGGGUGUGCUAUGUGUAUGCACAGACAGAAAAUAGGUGUGUGUCACAUUGGUGCCCUUAUUGACUCCUGUUUCUUUUAUGCUUCUCUAGUCCAGUAACUGCAUUUAUUACCUUAAAAUAAGGAUAGUACUUUUAAAGGUAAAUCUGUUUGAUAAAGCCAAUAUCAUUUGGAUAGUUCCAUAAAAAAUGGAGAUUUUGAUAUUUAGGCAGUCAAAACACAGUGACUGCCUUCUUUGUAAUGCACUGGAUUUCUGACAAAGAUAAACUCAUACGCACGAGCUCGUGCCUAACCUGUGUUCAAGAAGAAAGAAAUGGUGCCCAAUGCAGCAUGCGCUCCCCAAAGACUGACCUGGAGUCAGGAGGACAUGCACUGUGUGUUGCAUGUGCCCUUUCUGUUCAAUGCACAGGCACUUCAGAGCAUGCACAUGGAAAUGCCCUCCUGAGGAAGGUCAUGUGAUGAGCAGGUCUCUUCUUGUGUUCCCUAUUUGUAGGGUAGGGGAAAUAAUUGGGGUGGGGGGAAAAGCACUCUGCAAGCACUUUGCAAAUGUGGAAUUAUGGAGCUGAUGGCUUUUGUGGAGACUGAACCCAGGGGAAAAGACAGGAACAUCAAACCUUCACGUGAGUUACGUGUCCUGAUUGUAAGAAUAUGCUCUGUGUGUGUGUAUGCUGUGGUGCAUACAUGUGUGCAGGCACUCUGCUCACUGAUGGCAGCAGAUGUUGGUCACAGCAUGUGUUUAUUCUGUUGUGUUGCUAUAUCCAGUGUGCCAAUUACUUUAUGAUAUUAAUACAAAAUGCUGUCUGAAUGGUAUCCUGCAGCAGAGAGCUACACUGGCUAAUGAUCUGUGCCUGUGUGUUUCACUGCUGCUUUUUCAUUUUCCUCGUCCUUCGCUUCACUGAAUGCCUCUUUGUUUGGCCACAGAAUAGACCUGAUGGAGACCAGAGCCAUGCUGUUGAUGUUUUUACUGGUUUUGUUUGAGCAAAGUCUGCAGUGUGUAUCUCCUAAGAUGAAUGAUCAUUGAGCUUUCUUUCAUUGCCUUUGCAGUGACCCAGAGGUUCUGUUGGUCAGAUCCUGAAGUCUUCAAGCCCCUCCAUAAUCCCAUUAACUUCUGUGGGGCUAUAUCUGAGAAUGAGCAUUAUGGAAUUAGGCUGUACAGUACGUGUUGUUUCUAGCGCAAGUGCUAUGGCAGGAUCAGCACUUUCAUUGCUCAGUGUAACUCAUGGCAUAGUAGAAGCUGCCCAUGGGGCUGUGGAAAAUGCUUCUGCCUUUAAAAGUAGACAAGUUUUUGACAGAGAAGCUUUUUUUUGGUGAGUUUCUGCUUUGGAUUUAUCCAGCGUUAGGAAGUGCUCUGGCAGCAAGGAUAAUGGCCGGUGUGCUUUGCAAAUUGUUUUUAAUUCAGGCCUUUGAAGUUCUCUGGCACGGGUGGGUUGUUUUAUUCAUUGCCCUUAUUGUGUAGAGGGAUAUACUUGGGCUUUUACUUGAUGCUCAAGAUUUCUGAAGUGGGACCCUAACAAAAGGCUGGUUUUCAACAAAGUUAAGUACUCAGAGCUUUCCUUUUCCUUGAGUGAGUGGCACUUAAUCUGUAUGUCUAAUAGGGACUUACCAACCUGACCUUCAGCUUCAGUGUGAUCUCACUCUCUGUUCCUGUGCAGAAUGAGCUGUGAUCCAUCUCCACGCAGGUGUUGGACUGAGCUGGUAUUGGGAGAGGGUUCAGGACAUGAUGAUGCCAUGUGUUCACACUCAGCUGACAGUGCUCACCCAAGUGUGGCAGCAAAGGCAGAAGUGCCACUAGAGAUGUCUUUCGAAGAAGCUAUCACACUGAUGCUAUGCACGCUUGCAUUCCUCAGAACUCCACCAUUGUUUUUGUGUAAGAGUUGGUCCAUGCCAGGCUGCAGCCUCAGUAGCAGUGAUGGUCACACAGCGAGAGCUUUGCCAACCCAAUGCGGAUUGGCCUAGCUCUCCUUGAUGUGUAUGGGUGCUAAGUGUUGCUAUGUGCUGUCCCAGCAAUAAAUGUUGUUUAAAAGCUAGAAGGAAUGGUAUCUUUAUGUAUGCCUUCUUAUGGUCUCACUAAGAUGACGUGAAACAUAAUUAAAUAAUUUUGGAUCCCUGUGUCACAGAUGCCAUGGAACAUAUUUGUAAAAACAAAUAAUAUUUGUUAAGGGUUAUUAGAUAGAGGAACUGAUUUUGUGGUGUUCUUCUCCAGUGAGACACUUCAUGUCUGAUGUUAGAUGUACAAAUGUCAGUAAGUGUUGUCUUCUCAUUCCCUCUUCCUUUAUUUUUUACACCUAUUCAAUGUGUGCAAUGUAAAACUGAAGGUUUGGACUUCAUACCCAUCCACAGUAUGUGGAAACAAUCUGGAUUGAUUUUUAAAGAAUUUUAGUCCCAUACCCUGUGCACAGUCUCCCUAGCAUUAUGUUGUAGUGCCAAAUCUGUUUAUCUGGAGACACCAGUAUAGCAGGCAACCUUGCUACCAUUUUACAGCUGAGGGAAAUAAGAUGUGGAGCCCUGAUGCAAUUUCUGCAAGAAAUUUUUUAGAUCUACAAGAAACUGUCUUUUAUAUCCAUUGUAAUAGUUUAUUGAUGUUUGCCCUCUUGAUAAACAAUACAAACUUUGAAGUGAGUAGCCUUAUCUUAGAGAGCAAACUCUGGAUAAAAUUACUCUUUGUUAGGAUGACUGUUGAAGGAAUUCCACUUCCUCUUAUCCUGAGAACCAAGAGAAAGUUACUCAGUGCUGUAAUGGCUGGGGAUUUUCAUUGCUUUCAUAAAAAAAAAAAAACCAAACAAAAAAAAAAAAAAAAAAAAAAAAGGAAACUUAGCAGCAUGCAUGAAAGCGUGGUUUGCCUACAGGUCUGGUUUACAGCUAUUCUGGUCUUUCAAAGAAUUGAUUAUUUACAUAGUAUCAAUGAAAUAUGCCCUAAGACCCUGAGGCUGUUGUGGUCUUGAAUAAACACUGCAGUACUUGUUCGCCUCAACAGCAGAAGUUACCUUUUCCUAAAACCAAAUGAACACAGUUGGGAUGAAGAUGGCUGUAGAAAGGAAGACUCAACAGAACGCCAAUCUGCUUUGCUUUGUUCCUAUGUCUGUAUUGAUCCUAGCAUGUAAAGGUCAGAAGCAGCAGUUGUCAUUAGGAGUUUUGCCAUUUCUGCACUUUUCAGAGCCUGCAACAUCGCUGUUAGAGAAGUCUCCAGCAGUGCCCAAACAAGGAGGCCAAGGCCCUUGCAGUCACAUGCCCUUUGCAAUCAUAGCCAUGGCUCUUCCAGGUCAUGCAGGGCCAGAUCGUCAUGUGAGACCUAAGAGAGGAAGAGGCCAGAUUUAGGGAUGGUCUGCUUGGAGUUUUGCCCAGCCAUGUCAACAGCAGUAGUGGUGUGAGAGGUAGCCUUAGUCCUUGCUCAGCUCAAGCCCAUACCUUAGAAAAGCUGAAAAACAGCUAUAGAAGAGAAGCUGAUCAGCUAUAGAAGAUGCUGAUCAGCAUCUUAGCUGAUGUGAUAUCGGAUUGUAGCUGUCACUAUCCUGAAAAUAUUGAGGUUAACUCAUCUGAGAGUUUGCACGGUAGUUAUCAUAGAUGAUAACAUACUCACUAAACUGUCUCAGUCUAGGAGAAUUUGUAGUUAUUGUCCUUAUAUCCCUGGUGUCAUUUAAACAAGGGGUAGAAGUAGAUUAUGCCAGGUCUGUUCUGCUCGACAGGCAACUGUUUUCUACUCUUCCUGUUCCUUUUUGCAACAUGCUCUGAGUAAUGAGAAAAAUUACUUGCAAGCAGUUCUUCAAAUAAGAUGUCUUGCUGUGAUUUGAUUUGUAGCUCUCCUUCAUAAUUGUGUAGAAUUUUAUAGAUUAAGUAUUAUUCCUGGGAACAGUUGCUUUUUUAUUAAAAAAAAAAAAAAAAUGAGUGGCAUUUAUUUGCAUGUAAACUGCCUGCUUUCCUUGUGGAAAGCCAUUCUUGUGCUUUGCGGGUGAGUCAGUCACAGAGCAUGGACUGGACUGAGGGAGCAGACAGUCAUGCAGCACAGAGCUCCACAGACGCUUGGUGGACACUGAAAUGUGGGUGGCAGUGUGUUGCUUAACUCCUCAUUGAGGCUGGUACGGUCAUCAUGAGGGGCAGCCUGACCAGAGCUAGGAGCUCCGUAGGUACUUGUGACCAUGUAGGUACUUCUCACAGGAGAAAUCCUCUCAGAAAUGUGUUUGCCACAAGACAGCAUCACAAAGAAGUAAGGAAAGAAUAUGUCACAUGCCAAGCCUGCCAUUAAAAGCUGUGUAUGCCCCAGAGUUACGAUCUCAGAAAAAAGUGGUCAGGUGUUGUGGCUUCUUUGAUGCAGUGUGACACUCAGGGAGCCCGGAACAGCACUCUGAUGGCACAUUUUAAUAGGUGUCUGGAUACUUAGUUUUGUUUCUUCUCUUCAAAGGUUUGGCUGUGCUGUCAGUAUAGAUAGACUGAAAAGCUCUUGGGUUGAUUAAUUAUUAAAAGCACCCUCUAAAUAUUUUACAUCUUUUUAUUUUUUAUCUUUUUAUCUUAUCUAUUGAUACUUUUCCUCUGCUAAGACUUUACAACAGCAGAGGAAAAGCUGCUCACUAUAAGUGCUAAGAACCUGUAGGGCUCCUAUAAAAGAUUCAAAAAGAACAAAGACUGUAAAUAUUUGCUUCCUCUCUGGAACCUUGCUUCAGUUUCCUCCUGUUCACUUUCCCUGCAGUACCAUUCUGAGUCUUUUUGUUGGCAGGUUCUUCUUUGUUGCUUGGAUUCAGGCAGCGCUGGCACCAACCAGGACCAAAGUCCUGAUCACAGCAGGCCUUGUGCAAACAUGUCAGAGAUGGCAUUGACCUAGCACACUUUUGGUCUACGUGCAUAAGACUGGGGCAGGAGGGCAGAGAGAGCGGCCAGAGAGGCAAUGGGGCACUGUGCUGCUAACAUGGACUCCAAGUGCAGGAAAUGAAUGAGGCAGGGGUGUUCCUUCUUGCUGCAGCUGGCUUUAACUCAGGGCACUCCCGCUGGUAAGUCUUUUUCCUCGAUUUUCAUAUUUUGUAUGUCUGCCUCUGCUUGGGUGGAAUUUUGCUUAAAAGGAAUCCUGAUGUCUUGUUUUGCAAUCAGACUGCUGGCAGAAGUAGCAGCACCUCAGCAUCGCCGCUGGACUCCUCCAUCUCCUGCCAUCUCCUCCCGUGGAGACAGGGUUAUUACAUUACUUUCUCUGAUGUGUCUUUUUGUAAGACUGGGAGGGAUAACCGCUGGCUAUUUUGUGAGGCACCGGUAAAGAGAGGUCAACAACCCUCUGCCAUCUCACAGCCUUCACUUUUGUUCUUUCUUGCUGUCUUGCUUUGUCUCUUACUGGAACAAACAAGCGAUGAGAGCACUCAAAUUUGCAUAUUUGUGCUCACUGAAAACCAUGGUGUCAGGCAUGCGUUCAUUGUGUUGGCCCAAACAAACGUUCUGCUGCUGAUAGUGCACUCAAUAGAGCUCAGACACUGUGAGCUGUGGUAUGUUGUGACUCAUACUUCAUCAGGCUCUUUUAGCUGCGUUCCAGCCUCAGGUUCUUGUUGCCAGCGCAAGCGACCCAAGAUCUUGAUCCAAACUUACUGGAGCUGAUGGAAACAAUCUCGUUGGCUUCAUCCAGGAAGGCUUUGGGCUGAGUUGUCAGAACAGGAUGUUAAAUGAAUUCCCCUUUUGGUUUUUAAAUUGAAAUAAGUUGGCCUGGAAUUGAUAGGGAGUGUGAGAGAAUUUGGAAAUGCUGCAGUGGCACUUCAGUUGUUUGUUACUUUUGAAGCAGUGCUGCAGGCUCUGGCAGUGGAAGUCCCUUACUGCCAUCCCACAGUCAGCACGAUGUGCAGCAGAAUGUCCUGCACAAUAGCAGACAGCUCACCUCCACUGCUGCCAAGUGUCCCAGAUGCAGACAUUCUGGAUAUUUUUGGCUAAUUUUAUCGUGCUUCCUUCUUAGGUGAAAUAUGGGGUAUUUUUGUUUUGUUCAUUCGUUUUUAAAAAGUUAAUAAUCAUCUGACUUACCAAGCCUUGCUUGUGGUUCAGCCGUAAGAAAUACUAAUUCCCGACAUGCCCUUCUUCUCUUAGAAAAGAUUAUAAGCUAUCAGAGAAGAGAGAUGAUGUAUGUUUCUAGAUAGUAUAGUUCCUUUUAUUUUACAGUAAGACUAAAAUUUAAUGACAAAUUAUUUCCUGUGUAUCAUAGCUUUUAGUUCUCUACCAGUGUUUGCCAGUACUGUAGCAAUUCCAUCUUUGUUAGAAGGCAGAAAAGUCUGUAGGAACUUCAGGAGAUUAUAGGCUUUAAAUAUGCUUUAAUAUGUUCCCAGUUACACAAGCUAAAGCAAAUUAACUGUUAGUGGACAGUGGCUCAUGUUUCAGCAGUUGUAUUCUCUCUGAUUUAUACACACACAAGUUAAUUCAGGGAAAUUUUUACAAGUGAAAUCUAGCAGUUGAAUUGGAAAAUAAUAAUAAUAAUUUUAUAUAAACUCAUGACCUUCAGGAAUGUCAUGCCAACUUCUCUGGCAUGUCAGCUAAAACAAGAACUGAGUCACCUGGCAACAGAAGUCUUUUGUGAAUUCCAAGGUGUGAGUACAAGGACACAGCAGAUCCUGCUAGAAGUGAAUGACAGAAAUCUUGCCUUCGUGAGCUGCUGGCUGCUACAGACCUCCUUACAGUAGGAGACUCAUUGUUGCUGAGCCAGUUACUGGUUGACAGUUAGCUGCUCAAGCAAAGCUUAAUGCUCUGGAAAGUCUGCUUGACUUGGCAUCUUGACAAACCACGGUCUGUCCUUGCAUUAAUUCAGAAUUAAUUCUGUUUCUAAUGGCUUUGUAAACUAAGGUCAGAUCUCAGAAUGGAAUUCAUUUUGUAUUUGGGAAGGCUCCCACUGGAACGAAGACCAUUUUACUUGACUGAAGAACCUUGGGGUUAUUGCCUUUCAUUAUCAAGGCUCUAUCAGAAGCAAGUCACUGUUAUGUUAUCUCCUCUUGUCAUCACAUAGGUGCAGACAGAAUGAUAGAAUUCACCUCCUGUAAGCUGUUGACUGCUUACAGGAUAGAUGCAGGGGAAAGCAUUCACCGACAAGCCUCACUGAGCAUGUCUCAGCACCCAUUCUUGCCUCCCCAAGACACUACGCCCGCAUUCUAGUUACACGUGCUUUGGAACAGGGCUCCGUGAAGCACCUGUCAUGCCUCUUGAUGUGGUAUCGUUAAUAGGGGAGGUUUCUAUUUCCAGCUCUGUUACUGAUAUAGAGCAGGGUGGCGGGUAAAUUACACAACAUUCUUCUAUGCUUCCACUUUCCCAUCUAUGAUGCAGCUUCAGAAAUUUUGCCUGAAAUUCAACAUUGUGUUCUGUUGUACAGUAAGAACAUCGGGGUUUUUUGCGUGCUGGUGCUCGAGGCUGUAGGUUUUUUUCUGGUCAAGAGGGGGAUGUUUUGUCCACAUCUAAUAUUUGAAUAUGUAUGAAAACAUAAAUGAUAUGGGAAGCAAUGUUGAUGGUUCAGUGUGAGGCAGUCCUGCUACUUGCGUGUUGAUCAUGGUAACACCCAGGGCAGGCAGUUGGUGGACCUGUAAGAGUAAAUGUGAGAAAGAGAUCUGCCUAUACCUGGCACUCUGCAAUUGUAUAGAGGCGUUAACUCAGAUGAUAUCCCCUUGCUUGGCUAUAAUGUAGAGGAGGCACAAUUCCAAGCAUCUGCUGUAACCUACCCCAGAAGUGUUUGGAUUCCCUGGAGUGAGUACAGGAAUUUCUGCUUGUGGAUUGUGGGAGUGUUUUCUGAGUAAUCAUGAACGGAAAAUGCAAUGGACGUGUGAGACACUACCUCUGAAAACACUCACUGCUGUAGUUGUUUUAAUGGUCUUUACUACCAUAAGCUUCUGAUCUAAAUAUUGAGACUUUUUAUGUUUUGUUUAGUUUGGUCAGUAUUUUGUGUGAGUCCAGAAGUCAUGAGAUUUUUCAGAAGUCAUGUGUGCUAUCUUUCAUUUCUGCUUUGCUUUCCCCUCCAUGAAAUGUUGAGAUAAGCACUUUCAUAGCCACUGAGUGGUUGUGAACCAUAUCUUCCUGUAAAAACCUAUCUUUUCCCACUGAGAACUUCUGUUUCUUUAAGCCGUUCUGGAUUCUUGCUAGGUGGUGGAAUACCUACUGACUUGAAGUGCUGUGUUGUAACUUCAGCUCAGUACAGUGCUGAUGCCUCAUGUACUCAGGAGCCUAACAUGAAUCCAGAUCUGAAUCUGAGAAAAAUGGCUUCAGAGAACUCAUGCAAAAGAGUGUCUUGGUAUGGCCAAGGUUAGAGGACCAUCAUCCAUGCUCCUGGAACAUGUAAUAGCGCAGGGGCUGUGAGGCAGAUACAUUGGUGAAACAGAGGGACAUUCAGUACAUGGGAUAACUGCAUGUCAAAAAAAACUAAAAUAACAAGAUUGUCACUUUCCCCAAAUUAAUUCCUACCCCAGAACACUUGCCUUACUUGCCACAUAAAUAAGUUAAAUUAACAGUCCCAAUCAUCUCAAAGUCCACAGUGGUUGCUAAAGCAGAGCUGGUAUUUCCUGAAUUUCAGCAUUGUAGCCAUGGGGAUACUGAUUUCACUCCGUUUGCACACAGCACUCACAUCCUUGUGUGUGAAUUACAUGCUUGAACCCUUCCAAUGUACUAAUACAAUUUUACAUAAUUUUUGUUAGUACUAUUCUACUACAGGGUGACCAGCCCCUAGUCUGGGCUUAAAGAGUAUUUGUCCCUCUCUUUUUGUUUUCUUCAGUCAGUUCAAGCAGGGCAGUGGCAGAAUUAACUGUUUUUUGUUGUGGCAGCUGCCCAUGUGGCAUAUCCUGCAGGUUUGGGUUUAUGCUGAGAAAAGGGCUGUAUUCAAAGCUCACUGUGAAUACUGGAGUAAGACGGGUAGUGUUCCUACUAGAAAAUUACCAGUAUUCCAACCAGAGCACAUGACAGUCUGUCUUACAAGAGUUCACUCUGUAGACUGAACAGUGGCACUGUAGCUUCUCUGAAGGAUGAGUUAUUCCAACUCAAUUUACAAUGGAAGGAAUCUGCAUAACAAGUCUUUGGUUAACUUUUGGAUGUCCAAAUUAGGAAAGCUGGCACCACUCAAGCAAAGGAGCGCAAAGAAAAAUAGGAAACAAAUAGACUCCGCCUGAGGAACAAGAAACUGAGGGUGCACAAAACUGCUGUCUGCUGGUAUCUCAUGCAGCAACUGUUUUAUUUCCUCAAUCUAAACAAAUAAAUAAAUUAUUAAAAAAACUGUCUAGUACUUCAGUGAUUUUAAUCUAAAGUAAUUUAGUCCAUUAUGCAAAUCUUAUGAUAAUUUCCUUUUCCUGCCACUUUAAUAUUUUAUAAGGUAAUGUAAUUUUGAAUCUAAAAAUUUUGUUUAUGAUACACUUGCAAAGCUAACUGCCUGCUAGAUGGUUGUCCUCGAGCAGAGGGGUUUUAUUUAUGUACCCUCUCCCCCUAUAUGCAAAGUGGAUGAACUAAAUGAAUGAAAUUUUAAUGUCCUUUAGAAGACUUUUGCAAGCUAUUGUUAAGCAGACUAUAGAGGAUAAAAAGUACAUUUGUGAUAUUUUUGUGUUUUUGCCUUUUUUUCUGCUCUAUGUGGAAAAAAAAAAAAAGGCUGAAAGGUCCCUAUUUUUUUGCCGCUUCUGUUUUUCUUCUAUAUGAGAAAAAGCAUGUUUUGUUUCCUCUGUUAUUUAUUUACUUCUGCCAGAAUGUAUGAUCAUAACUGAUUAUCAGGUAGAAUUAUCUCGAGGCUACUGAGAGAACAAAAAAUGACUAACUCUCCAGGGAAGAGGUGUUUUUAUUCAGCUCGCUUAAAAGUUUAAAACAAGCAAACAAGAAACCCAAGCAUUCAAACAUGUGGAAAAAUACUGGGGAGAAAAGCUAUUUUCCAAACGGUAAGAGCUUGCUCACUUUAAUGGUUUAACGAGUCUAAAUCUAAGACCUCUAAGGAAACUGCAGAGCUCAAAAAGGAGACAAGUGACAUUUUUAAAUGAAGAGGACAGGCAGCAAAAGAAAUCUCAAACACCUCUCUCACUAUUUUGAAUAGUUUGCAGACCUUUAGGAAUUUUUCUUUAGAAAAAGAGGACACAGAACUUGAAAGGUCAGCUUGUAUGUAUUUUGCUGUGGAAGUCAAUGUUAAGUAAAUUAAACCAUUAAGCAAGAUAUUAUUUAUGUCAGUAAAUAUUAACUAAAUAUGUUGAACAAGUCUUUUUGUUUGAAGCUAGGCUGCCACUGCUUGCUCUAAGUGGAAAAAAAUCUGAGUUGCAAUUUUUUUUUGUCCUUCAAGAGUCACAUGGAUGGCUUUGCAAUUUCUGAGCCAUUGAAAAUGAAGGAGUUUGGAGAACAGCCUUUUUUUUUCUUCUUCUUCUUUUUUUUUUUCUUCUUCUUUUUUUUUUUUUUUUUCCUGCUGUUGAUUGUUUGUAAUUACUCUGGCAUCAGGGAACAGUUCCAUUUCUUGGUGUGUGAGGUUUUUGUUUUUCAUUUUAUCAGGUCCUAGUGGCACGGCAGAGGCUUGCUGUGUUAAAGCUGACUUGGAUAAAGGGCCAGUGCUCUGUUGGAGUGAUGGAGAGCUGUGCUAAAGUGGGAGGAAAGGGCUGGGCAGCUGCAGAGCCUGGCUGGUGGCAGGGCACAGGGCUGUAUUCCUUGCCUAGGAAACAAGUCAUAAAGUUGUACCCUGUCCUUCGGUUCCAGACAAAAAACAAGCUCUGGACUCCUGCUUCCCUCCUUAUGUAUCUUGUUAAUGCUGUGAAUGUGCCUCUUCUGGGUAAUGUUUUUAAUUUGCCUCAAAGUAGAUAACCAAUUGAAUUGAUUUGGCUCCUUGAGAAGCUUAGGGGAGGUAGGAAAACAUUUUUUUUUUUUUUUUCUCCUUAGGCUCCCAGAUAUAUAAAUUAAGUUUCUAUUACAUCCUCUGCUGCCUUGGGAGUAACUAUUGGAGAAUGGUCUCCAUCUCCGAACUUUGGGAUUGCUGCUUUUGGAGCAAGAGGGUACAUUUGCCAUCCUCACUGAGUAACUGCAAAUGUGAUGUGUUGUGUUGCCAGUGAAGCCACCGGUAAAGUGCUCAUUAUUGCUGUAGCUGAGCAUAGGUUAAGAAGUGUUACUGUACUGGGGUGCUCUUUGUGCAAACUAUUACUUUAUAAAUACCAUGGAGAAUGUGUCUUAGUGCUUCACUGUGAAGAGAGAGAGCAACCACAGGAAGGGGACAUUGAGGAGAAUGCAAAAUGCAGGAGGAGAAUCUGAGUUUCUUUGAGCCUUUACAACCUCGACUCCUCAGAUUGUUGCUGAAUUCUUUUAAGAAAUGGUUGAGGAGGUGAUUUCCUUAUGUAACUGGUUCAUGUUAGACUCAGGUUUAGGGACCAGUCUGGAUUAAGAACUAAGUUUUAACCUGGAUUUGGGCAAACUGCUAUCACUAGAGCUUCUCAUGUAGUAGUAUCAAUAUAGACUGUUAUUAACGCUGGACAAGCAAAAUGUGAGUCUGAAUUUCCUCUUCCUCUGAGUUUGAAUUGGAGGUAUCUGGAAUAGUUAGGAACAGAUUUUCAUCCUUGUAAUGCUGCUGUUGAAGUACAUGUUCUGUGAGAUAUGGGUGUCCCAGUGUAUCAGUCAGUCCUUGUGGCUUUAAGGACAUCAUCAUCAUGAGUCUGUAGUGAUCACUGAUGAGUGUUUUCCCAGAGGGUACAGGGCUGUGCAUUUUUUCUAAGGGAAAAUGCUUCCAGUUAUUUUUAGCUCCUGCUUCAAGGAACCUUUGUGUUCUAUAUAGAAAUUAAAUGUUCUUUCAUUUCUGAGCCAUUUCAAGACCAGUGAAGCCCUCUCCUUACAUCCAGACAGAAUUCAUGUUGUGCACUUUGAAUUUGCGGAAGACCUGUGUCAGCUGAGGCUGCAUGAGGCUCUUGUGGAAUGUCUGUGUGAAACGGAAUACGGAGAGGUUCAGUUAUAGUGAUUUCAUCCCAGUUGUGGUGCUGCUGUAAUUGUAAUCUGUAAUUAAGGUAAUAUGGAGCACAUGUGCAAUUUUUCAUUAGAAAUGUAUGAUUAUAUUUAAAGUCUCAGGUGACAUAAUCCAAUAUAGCCACUGACUCCUUCGACAAGGCAAAGAUGUCAGUGUAAUCCAGAAGACCUUUACUCCUCAUUUGCUCAGCCUGAUAUACUUCACUCUUACUUCUCUUUCUUAUUGAUCAAUCUACCAGAACUUAAAUUCAGAGUAUUAUUUAUAUAUUGUCAUAUUUCUAUUUGGAACCCUUGGCAUUGGUCUUUAUAUUUCCCAUCCUGAGCAGCAUCUUGUUGAGAAGCAAGGGCUCACUGGCAGUAAGAAAUUGUUCAGUGAUGACAGAAAUCUACACACAUUAUUUCUGUAUCUGGCUCUCACUAGAGCUGAUCCCUCAAAACUGCAUCUGUGUAAUGUGAGUACUCUCAAAAUUCCUUUCUAUCUUUCCUCUUCUUUCACCAGUGGGACCUGAAUUAGCAUCCCUCAUCUGAGCAUCCUUGAAAAUUGCUUAUAUGUGGUAUUUUAAAGCUGAUCAAGAUUGGAUGGUUCAGGCUCAGAUGGUCAGAUCUAAAUUAAUUUAUUUGUUAUUGAUGUUCUUCAGGCAUUUAAAAUGAUUUAGUAGGUACUUCAGAUGAUUAAAUAGGGUAUUUUUUCCCUUUUCCCCCUUCCUCCCCCCCCAACUUCCUUGAAAAAGGAAAAGUGAAGAGGUUCUUUAAUGCCAGUACUGAGGUUCCUUCUGGAGGACUAUUUUUCCCUCUGCAGUGCAUCAGAGGAAAUUUUUUGAAGCAUCAAAUUCUACAAUUUGAAGCCGAGAAUCAUUUGUGCCACAUAAAUCUUAACUGAGAACUCAUGGUUGUAACUCGUUACUCUAGUGGGCUGUAAUUCCAAUCCAAGCAGCAAGUCCUGCUUUGAAUGUCUGUUGCAAAGUGUAAAAAUAAAAAAAUCAUCCAUUGAAGUUCUCCAAUAAAGAUAAAAAAUGUUUGUCAAACCCAGCUAUUCAGGAUCAGUGAUUGCAGUUGCUGUCUCCAGACAAUCUGCAAGAAGUUUGUCCUCUAAAAUAUUAUUUUUGUGUUUUCUUGACCUCUGACUUAGAGAAAACUCUCUGUCUCUUUGCUGGCAUGAAUGUACUCGUGUGUGUUUGCUGCAAUUCUGCAUUUUUAUCUAAGGUAAUAGUUAGCAAGAAUUGCUUGCUGCGUUUUGCUGUUGUCCAGGCUAAACAUAAGAAUGUCCUAUUGCACCUCAGCAUGUGUUGCGCUGUUUUCUCUGCCAUGUAUUUCAUAGGUAGCAAUAGGGAAAGCAUGGAGCUGGUGCUUAGAAUGAGGGGCUCUGGAUCCUUAUGUUCUUCUGUCACCUUAGGCAAACUCCUUCAAUCCUGUGCCACCCAAUUCGUGAACAGAAAGUGGUGUGGCAGGCAGGUGUUGCAGGCUGUGCUGAAUAUACAUGUCGAAGCAUCCCAAUUGCACCUGUACUGUCCUGCCCAGCUCGCCAGGGAAGUCUGAUUUUCAGGCAUUCAGUAAAAACUGUGAAAUAGGGCUGAGAGAUACAAACAGUAUCUCAUACUCAUACAGUAUCUCAGCAUAAUAACAGUCUGUUAUUAUGUGCUGUCUUGCUGAUCAAUUGUUUUCUUUUGUUUCCCCCCUCUGCUCCCAUAUAAAAUGGGAAUUGUUCUGUGCCGCAGGAAGUUACAAGGUUUAGUUACUCAUGCCUUGAAUACAUACAAAUGUAUUAGAGGAUUUUUGUGGCUAAAUGCAAAUCCCACCUCCUUGCAGGUGUUUUGAAAAGAAUCUGUCUGAGUCAAGUACCUUGAGAGCUCCUUCUAAGUAUUGUUCAAAGUUCAUUGCAGCAGUGGUGGGAGGACAGAAGUCACCAGUGAAGCAGCUCGCAGAGUAGGAAGGGCAAAGCUUUUAUGCUUUUUCAAAUGAACAGAGCCUUUGCUUUGAUCCAUGCUGCUGCUGUUUGGUGAAAUCUAAAGCAAAAUGAGGAAGUGUUUGUCAUGAAAGAUAGAUUUAUACAACUGUUGCAAUCAAUGCAUUUCCUUUUUAAGUAGAAAUAAUAUAAAGAGUUUAAUUCAGUACAGUACGUAUCUCGGUUUUGUUGCUCAGACUGUAUAAAACUAGUCUGCUCUACUCGACAUUUGCCUUAAACUGUUUAUGUUACCUAAAAUGUCAUUCCAGAUGAGAGUUUGGCUUAGGACUGCAGUGAAAGGCAUUUUAUUCCAUGUAUGGACCUGGCCUCUCGGAGCUAUUUUAGUGGGUAGCUAGGAAAUGUUUUUCAGUGAGCCAUAAUUUCAUUUGUGUUUAUGUGGAUUGGCUGGCCUGAUGAGGGAACUACAUUGUUCUGCAAUUCUGCUCUGCUAUGUUUCAGGGAAGAGACAGGAAUUUUCAGUUGCAUUCUGGAACUGUGUAUUUUUAAACACUUCAUUUAAUAACACAUCUCAAAAUCACUGUGUUUUCAGUUUAGCUACUGGGAAUGAAACUGUUAUGUGCCUAGAAGAGGCUUUGUUUAAAAAAGAAAAAAAAAGCUCAUAGACACUGUUGGUGUUCAUCGACUUUGACUUUAACAGAACCAGACUGGUUUUAAACCAUUACUUGUACUGGUUCCAGCAUACAUAAACUCAUUCAUUUCUCUUGCUAGCAUGCUGUGAUAGAUGGUUGAAGAAUGUCUGCUGGAUCAACAGUGGAAUCAAAAGUCUUGUUUUAAGCUGUUGGGUCUCUACUGUGGCACUUCUGUGGAAGCACAGUGUGAGGAUAUAGUGUAGGUAUGUGCUGCUCAAGCAGUAGCAGCAAUGUGUUUGCUCACAGAACAGCUUCCAAUAGGCUGAAUCCCUGAAGAGUGGUAAGAGAAGAAUGUUUGGUUGACUGUAGGUUAAUUUGAUAUUGCACCAUGCUGAAGAAAUCAUUCUGAGUCCUUUUAUGUUUGAGGCACCACUUGGUGCUUUUUCAGAAUGUUCACUGAUAGUACGAUGCGAUCUUCUGCCUUGGAGGAAAUGUUAGUAAAAUUGUGUACAUGCACAAUAUUCUAUAUAAUUAUGCCAUGCUAUUAUAGUGGCCUAGUUUUCUUCAUAUAUAUUCUAGUAAGUCCUUCAUUCCUUCUCCAGGAGAUUUACCUCUGGAAUUAAAGGCCAAGUUGCAGGUCUGACAAGCUGUGUAGCCAUUGCAUUUAGACUACCAACUACUGUCAUCUGUUGUUACAAUCUUUAUACUUUAAGUGACCUGGAGUCAGAUUUUCGGUGGUAUUUGUUUGCUUAAGAGUCAUUAGACGCUAAAUGGGAUUUCAGAAUUGCCUAAGUAAAUUAGACUCCUAAUUCACAAUGCAGAUCUGAUUAGGAGGCUUCAUGUAUCUGUAGGUGCCUAAAUACCUUUGGAUAGCUGCCUGCUGGAUGUAGGAACUAGCCUAAAGGCAAUAUGGUGUUCCCUAAAGGUCAUUAAACAAGUCAGAGCACAGUAGUUUUUGAUGGAUUUUGAAAUUAGUAGUUUUUAUUUAGAUAACUAAAGAAGGUAUGAAAGGCUCAAGAUUUUAUUAUUGAUCUCUGUCUUCCAGGGUACAGUGAGUAGCUAGCUUGAGUGAACUCACACUGUAGAGCUGGACAAAAGUGGACGUGGGGCUGAUAGGAUGUGCAUGUAGCCUAUGCCCAUUCAGUAUCAGCUUGUCUGUGAUUUGAAGUCAUGUCAUGCUUCUUCCUAUAGAUAUGUAUAAGGUCCUUGAACAGUUGUUAGCAACUAUUGGAGAAAUCCAUGGACUUCAUUAUCUCCUCGGAAUAUUGCCUUUCCUUGGAGUGCUUUUAUUCAAGUUCUUGCAAAUGUAAGUUUCAGGUACAUGAUCAGUAGGCUGUUGAGAGUUUCUAUUUAUUUCCAAAGAAAUUUCUUGAAAAUAUUUUAAGUGUAUCCAUUAAGACUAGUACUUAUCCUGAUCUUUCUCCUGGUUGGAAAAAAAAAAAAAAAAAAAAGAAAAGAAAA